rnacentral:piRNA from 1 species
UGAUUGGCAAAAGGGAUGGUCAGGGCCUGU